GGGCCCUUAGCUCAGCGGUGAGAGCAGGCGACUCAUAAUCGCUUGGUCGCUGGUUCGAAUCCAGCAGGGCCCACCA
rnacentral:tRNA from 1 species